GCCAUAUAGGGGAAUGGGGUGAGCCACUCAGUGAUGGACUCGAUGGUAGGAGGGACUGAGGCUGGGAUUCAGGCUAAGGGGGGCUCCGAUGGGGUUCCCCUUCCUCGAAAAUCUUUUUCAUGAGGUUACUCAUCUAGAAUAUCUGAGGGGCAAGGAAGCCCUCAUUUUGAUCGACCUUUGGUAGAUUAAUCCAGCAGCAUGGGCCCGAUGUUUGCAUCCUGC
rnacentral:lncRNA from 1 species